UACGUAGGUGACAAGCGUUGUCCGGAUUUACUGGGCGUAAAGAGCGCGCAGGCGGUCGAUCAAGUCGAGUGUGAAAGCCCCCGGCUCAACUGGGGAGGGUCAUUCGAUACUGAUCGACUCGAAGGCAGGAGAGGGUAGUGGAAUUCCCGGUGUAGUGGUGAAAUGCGCAGAUAUCAGGAGGAACACCGAUGGCGAAGGCAGGUCUCUGGGCAUUAACUGACGCUGAGGAGCGAAAGCAUGGGGAGCGAACGGG
rnacentral:rRNA from 1 species